rnacentral:hammerhead_ribozyme from 1 species
AUCCAGCUGAAGAGUCGCAGAUAGGCCGAAACGUGAGUCCUGGAU